AUUGAACGCUGGCGGCAGGCCUAACACAUGCAAGUCGAACGCGUGGCGGACGGGUGAGUCAUGUCGGGGAAACUGCCUGAUGGAGGGGGUUAACUACUGGAAACGGUAGUUAAUACCGCAUACCAUCGGAUGUGCCAAGAUGGGAUUAGCUUGUUGGUGGGGUAACGGUUCACCAAGGCGACGAUCCCUAGCUGGUCGGAGAGGCUGACCAGCCACACGGGAACGGAGACACGGUCCAGACUCCGAGGGUAGGAAGCAGUGGGGAAUAUUGCGCAAUGGGCGAAAGCCUGAUGCAGCCAUGCCGCGUGUGUGAAGAAGGCCUUCGGGUUGUAAAGCACUUUCAGCGGGGAGGCGGUACCCGCAGAAGAAGCACCGGCUAACUCCGUGCCAGCAGCCGCGGUAAUAC
rnacentral:rRNA from 1 species